rnacentral:tRNA from 1 species
GGGGAUAUAGCUCAGUUGGUAGAGCGGUAGGUUCGCAAUCUACAGGCCAGGGGUUCGACCCCCCUUAUCUCCA